rnacentral:rRNA from 1 species
UACGUAGGUGGCAAGCGUUGUCCGGAAUUAUUGGGCGUAAAGCGCGCGCAGGCGGUUCUUUAAGUCUGAUGUGAAAGCCCACGGCUCAACCGUGGAGGGUCAUUGGAAACUGGAGAACUUGAGUACAGAAGAGGAAAGUGGAAUUCCACGUGUAGAGGUGAAAUGCGUAGAGAUGUGGAGGAACACCAGUGGCGAAGGCGACUUUCUGGUCUGUAACUGACGCUGAGGCGCGAAAGCGUGGGGAGCAAACAGG